UACGUACUGCGCGAACGUUAUUCGGAAUCACUGGGCUUAAAGGGUGCGUAGGCGGCAUUUCAAGUCAGAUGUGAAAUCUUCCGGCUCAACCGGAAAACUGCAUUUGAAACUGAUUUGCUUGAGUAGACUAGGGGUGUGCGGAACUGCCAGUGGAGCGGUGAAAUGUGUUGAGAUUGGCAGGAACGCCGGUGGCGAAAGCG
rnacentral:rRNA from 1 species